GUUGUCUUUGGCAGCACAUAUACUAAAAUUGGAAUAAUACAAAGAAGAUUAUCAUGGUCCCUGCAAUAGGAUGGCAUGCCAAUUUGUUAAGUGCUCUAUAUUUUU
ensembl:snRNA U6 U6 spliceosomal RNA